rnacentral:rRNA from 1 species
CGGACGGGUGAGUAACACGUGGGUAACCUGCCCUUACGUGGGGGAUAACAUUUGGAAACAGAUGCUAAUACCGCAUAGAUCCAAGAACCGCAUGGUUCUUGGCUGAAAGAUGGCGUAAGCUAUCGCUUUUGGAUGGACCCGCGGCGUAUUAGCUAGUUGGUGAGGUAAUGGCUCACCAAGGCGAUGAUACGUAGCCGAACUGAGAGGUUGAUCGGCCACAUUGGGACUGAGACACGGCCCAAACUCCUACGGGAGGCAGCAGUAGGGAAUCUUCCACAAUGGACGCAAGUCUGAUGGAGCAACGCCGCGUGAGUGAAGAAGGCUUUCGGGUCGUAAAACUCUGUUGUUGGAGAAGAAUGGUCGGCAGAGUAACUGUUGUCGGCGUGACGGUAUCCAACCAGAAAGCCACGGCUAACUACGUGCCAGCAGCCGCGGUAAUACGUAGGUGGCAAGCGUUAUCCGGAUUUAUUGGGCGUAAAGCGAGCGCAGGCGGUUUUUUAAGUCUGAUGUGAAAGCCCUCGGCUUAACCGAGGAAGCGCAUCGGAAACUGGGAAACUUGAGUGCAGAAGAGGACAGUGGAACUCCAUGUGUAGCGGUGAAAUGCGUAGAUAUAUGGAAGAACACCAGUGGCGAAGGCGGCUGUCUGGUCUGUAACUGACGCUGAGGCUCGAAAGCAUGGGUAGCGAACAGGAUU